AACGAACGCUGGCGGCAGGCUUAACACAUGCAAGUCGAACGCCCCGCAAGGGGAGUGGCAGACGGGUGAGUAACGCGUGGGAAUCUACCGUACCCUACGGAACAACAGUUGGAAACGACUGCUAAUACCGUAUACGCCCUUCGGGGGACAGAUUUAUCGGGGUAUGAUGAGCCCGCGUUGGAUUAGCUAGUUGGUGGGGUAAAGGCCUACCAAGGCGACGAUCCAUAGCUGGUCUGAGAGGAUGAUCAGCCACAUUGGGACUGAGACACGGCCCAAACUCCUACGGGAGGCAGCAGUGGGGAAUAUUGGACAAUGGGCGCAAGCCUGAUCCAGCCAUGCCGCGUGAGUGAUGAAGGUCUUAGGAUUGUAAAGCUCUUUCACCGAUGAAGAUAAUGACGGUAGUCGGAGAAGAAGCCCCGGCUAACUUCGUGCCAGCCGCCGCCGUAA
rnacentral:rRNA from 1 species